rnacentral:lncRNA from 1 species
AUUUUCUUUCUCUUUCCCUUCAUUUUUAUUUCCCUCCUAGCCAACCCUAACUUUCCCUUUUCACGAUCCGCACACGCGCGAAAUAAUUUCCCCUUUUUCACUUCGCGCGCGAACGCGAACCCUCUUUCCCCUUCGCCUCUUUCCGCUUCUUCGCCGCUUCUUCGCCGCAGAGUUAGGGUUCCCCUUUGCUCGGAACCCUUCGCCUCUUUCCGCUUCUUCGCCGCUUAACUCUGCGCAAAACCCUAACUUCGCCGCCUCUUUCCGCUUCGCCACUUCGCCCCAAUCCUGUCGGACCUCCUUAAUUUCUCCCUUCUCUAACUCCCAUCGCCUUCUCCGAGCUCUGAGGAUGCCCUAGCUCCGCCGCUUCGCCGGAGCUCCACCCGAGGCCGGAUCUCCACCCGAGCGCCCUCACACCGCCGGAGUUCUACCAAACUCGCGCCUUCCUCAACCUGCUGCGACCUUUUUGUCUGUUUACUGAGCAAAGUUACACAUUUACUUACCUCCUCUGUUAACUACUAAUUAUACUUAUAGUCCAAGUCAUUACACCUCUUUGCCUCUUUCCCCUUCGCCUCUUUCCGCUUCUUCGCCGCUUCUUCGCCGCAGAGUUAGGGUUCCCCUUUGCUCGGAACCCUUCGCCUCUUUCCGCUUCUUCGCCGCUUAACUCUGCGCAAAACCCUAACUUCGCCGCCUCUUUCCGCUUCGCCACUUCGCCCCAAUCCUGUCGGACCUCCUUAAUUUCUCCCUUCUCUAAC